UUCAAAAAAAAAAGACUUAAAAUACAGAGUCUCGUAGCUCAGCUGGUUAGAGUACUACACUGAUAAUGUAGGGGUCGGCAGUUCGAGUCUGCCCGGGACUACUUUUAACAAGUAUUUUAAGAGAAAAAGGAAAUUUUAAAAGUUGAGUCCUUGAAUUUUGAAAUUUGAAAUUUAAAUUUUGAAAUUGAAAACGGGGGAUUAGCUCAGCUGGCUAGAGCGCCUGCCUUGCACGCAGGAGGUCAUCGGUUCGACUCCGAUAUUCUCCACGAAAAAAAUGAUAAUUAUCAAUUGAUAAUUGUUAAUUGAUUAAAGUUCAUUGACAUAUUGAGAUAAACAUACAAACAAGUAG
rnacentral:tRNA from 1 species